AUUGAACGCUGGCGGCAUGCUUUACACAUGCAAGUCGAACGGCAGCACGGGGGCAACCCUGGUGGCGAGUGGCGAACGGGUGAGUAACACAUCGGAACGUGUCCAGUUGUGGGGGAUAACCCAUCGAAAGGUGGGCUAAUACCGCAUGAGCUGGCAACAGGAAAGCGGGGGACCCGCAAGGGCCUUGUGCGAUUGGAGCGGACGAUGUCCGAUUAGCUAGUUGGUGGGGAAAGGCCUACCAAGGCUUCGAUCGGUAGCUGGUCUGAGAGGAUGAUCAGCCACACUGGGACUGAGACACGGCCCAGACUCCUACGGGAGGCAGCAGGUGGGGUAAUUUGGACAAGUGGGGGCAACCCUGAUCCAGCCAUGCCGCGUGAGUGAAGAA
rnacentral:rRNA from 1 species